AAGAAAGUGGCAGAGAGGUUACGCGGCUGACUUGAAAUCAGUUUAUGGGGGUUCGAUUCCUCCCUUUCUGG
rnacentral:tRNA from 1 species